rnacentral:ncRNA from 1 species
UUAGCUAUUUUAGAUAGGUUUGUGUUCAUGGUUCAUGGAUGCAAACGACAACAAGUUUGUAUCUAUGAUGGCUAAGGAUUUUAAGUUCGACUUAACGCCACAUAGAUGAAAAUCUAUAGUGGCUUUUCUUUUGGUAUUUUUUUGGGAGACUAGGCUCAUUGUAGAUUUUCUACAGUGGGCCUUUUUUGUCAGUCCAA